rnacentral:rRNA from 1 species
AGAGCGAACGCUGGCGGCAGCCUAACACAUGCAAGUCGAGCGCCCCGCAAGGGGAGCGGCAGACGGGAGAGUAACACGUGGGAACGUACCCUUUGGUUCGGAACAACACAGGGAAACUUGUGCUAAUACCGGAUAAGCCCUUACGGGGAAAGAUUUAUCGCCAAAGGAUCGGCCCGCGUCUGAUUAGCUUGUUGGUGAGGUAACGGCUCACCAAGGCUACGAUCAGUAGCUGGUCUGAGAGGAUGAUCAGCCUCACUGGGACUGAGACACGGCCCAGACUCCUACGGGAGGCAGCAGUGGGGAAUAUUGGACAAUGGGCGCAAGCCUGAUCCAGCCAUGCCGCGUGGAUGAUGAAGGCCCUAGGGUUGUAAAGUCCUUUCGACGGGGAAGAUAAUGACGGUACCCGUAGAAGAAGCCCGGCUAACUCGUGCCAGCAGCCGC